AACGUAGGACGCAAGCGUUAUCCGGAGUUACUGGGCGUAAAGGGCGGGCAGGCGGUCGAUGCAAGUGGGGUGUGAAAUCUCCCAGCUUAACUGGGAGAGGCCAUUCCAAACUGCUCGACUGGAGGGCAGUAGAGGUAGGCGGAAUUCCGGGUGGAGUGGUGAAAUGCGUAGAGAUCCGGAGGAACACCAGAGGCGAAGGCGGACCUACUG
rnacentral:rRNA from 1 species